rnacentral:miRNA from 1 species
GUGUGAUGUGACGUGAACAAG